rnacentral:tRNA from 1 species
AUGGUGUAGUGGUUAGCUUAUCUGCUUUACAUGCAGAAAACCCUGGGUUCAAGCCCCAGU